GAGCGGAGUCCCUCCCGCUGCCUGUCAAGACACAAGCCCCGCCCACUCCCUGGGACUCGCGGAGCGCGCCUGGAGCCUGUCAGGCACUAGGCCCCGCCCCUGCGCUCUCCCAGGCUUGCAGUGCUCUGCCAGUGAGCUCAGUGGACCCGCCUGGGGCAGUGGGCGGAAAGUCAUGAUCUGUGGACUCAGAUGCAUACAGGUUCGAAUGCCAACCCUGCCUGCCACUUACUCAAAGUCAUGGAGCAGCGCCAUGCCUCAGUUUACUUAUCUGUGCCGUGAAUACAGCGAGGCCUCUCUGAAAUUGGUUCAGGAGCUCAGGCUUGGAAGUACCUGGCUUAGGGCCUGGCACUUCGUAGUGCCCAGGAAAUGUUUGUAAAUACACUGUGGGCCACCUCCUCCAGGAAGCCACCUCAGCCUUACCACCCCUGGGUGUCUGGAGUGCUCUGUUCGAAAUGGGCCAUGUGACCUUGGGCUAGUCAUUUCAACUCAGAACCAGCUGCUUAUCCAUCUGUAAAAUGGGCACCCAGCAGAGGCUACCUCCCUACCAGGAGUGCAAGCCUGGUCCAUGAGGUUUUCUAGGUUCAGGCUCCUGCCAUCCACUUGGACUUCUGUGCUUCCUAUGCUCCCCUUCGCCCUCUCUGUUCCUUGCUAUGUUCGAGGGUCUUAGUGCUUCCCCUUGAACAUGCCACUACCGGUCUUGCCUCGUAAGGCUUUCACCCUCACUGUUUCCCCUGCCUGGAACACCUUCCCCUCCCCCUCACCCCACCCCAGGAUCAUGGGGGUGAUUUCCUACCAGCCUGCAGGCCUCUGCUUAAAUGAACUCCUAUAAAAGACCUUCCUGGUCAUGUCCCCAA